rnacentral:rRNA from 1 species
GACGAACGCUGGCGGCGUGCUUAACACAUGCAAGUCGAACGAAGUGGCGAACGGGUGAGUAACGCGUAAUCAACCUGCCCUUCAGAGGGGGACAACAGUUAGAAACGAAUGCUAAUACCGCAUACUGAAGGAGGGGAUUGCAUCUGCUUAGCUAGUUGGAGGGGGAACGGCCCACCAAGGCGAUGAUCAGUAGCCGGUCUGAGAGGAUGAACGGCCAAACUGGGACUGAGACACGGCCCAGACUCCUACGGGAGGCAGCAGUGGGGAAUUUUGGACAAUGGGCGCAAGCCUGAUCCAGCCAUGCCGCGUGUCUGAAGAAGGCUUUCGGGUUGUAAAGGACUUUUGUCAGGGAAGCGGUACCUGAAGAAUAAGCACAGGCUAACUACGGGCCAGCAGCCGCGGUAAGUC